rnacentral:rRNA from 1 species
CCUACGGGUGGCAGCAGUGGGGAAUAUUGGACAAUGGGAGCAACCCUGAUCCAGCCAUGCCGCGUGUGUGAAGAAGGCCCUCGGGUUGUAAAGCACUUUCAGUGAGGAAGAACGCCUGGUGGUUAAUACCCAUCAGGAAAGACAUCACUCACAGAAGAAGCACCGGCUAACUCCGUGCCAGCAGCCGCGGUAAUACGGAGGGUGCGAGCGUUAAUCGGAAUUACUGGGCGUAAAGCGCGCGUAGGUGGCUUGAUAAGCCGGUUGUGAAAGCCCCGGGCUCAACCUGGGAACGGCAUCCGGAACUGUCAAGCUAGAGUGCAGGAGAGGAAGGUAGAAUUCCCGGUGUAGCGGUGAAAUGCGUAGAGAUCGGGAGGAAUACCAGUGGCGAAGGCGGCCUUCUGGACUGACACUGACACUGAGGUGCGAAAGCGUGGGUAGCAAACAGGAUUAGAUACCCCUGUAGUC